UAGGUACCCUCAAUGGCUCAGUAGCCAGUGUAGAUCCUGUCUUUUGUAAUCAGUAGCUACAUCUGGCUACUGGGUCUCUGAUGGCAUCUUCUA
rnacentral:miRNA from 1 species